CGGCCUAGUGGCGAACGGCUGAGUAACACGUUGGUAGCUGCCCCGCACUCAGGGAUAACAUCUAGAAAUAGAUGCUAAUACCGGAUGGCCCCGAAAGGGUAAAGAUUUAUCGGUGCGGGAGGCGCCUGCGGCCUAUCAGCUUGUUGGUGAGGUAACGGCUCACCAAGGCUAUGACGGGUAACUGGUCUGAGAGGACGACCAGUCAGAAUGGGACUGAGACACGGCCCAUACUCC
rnacentral:rRNA from 1 species